rnacentral:lncRNA from 1 species
UAUGAUUUUUCUAGAAUUUUCUACCCAGCCAAUUGGUACAGUAUUACAAGUAAAGUUAGCCCACGUGCAGACAGGACAGUUUCGUACAUGUUACGUGAAUGUGAAGAAACGGAAGCCUUCCGGAAUUUUCCAAGUUGCGUGCUAUAUAUGGUUGGAAAGAUAAGAUAUUUAUCUUUCUAAAAUAUAUUUUUAAUGAUUUUUCUACAAGGUCGAAGAUCCCCAAAUCGUGUGAACAUUGGGCUGAGCUGUAUUUCCCAGUGGAGUUAGGAAUUGUGAUUUUUACUUUCCUAUUUGGAUUCCUUGUUUACCAAGACUUCUUGGACGACUUUUCAGUCAAUUUUAGGGUUUAGAACUCUGAUAUAAGUGAUAUAAAAGUCGAGCCAAGGCCUGAAAAAAAAGGGGGGAUUCACGUCCGAAAGAGAUCAACCGCGCAAGAGGAGAAAGCUGCCAACGAGUUCUUUCUUUUCCUUCCUUCUUUUAAUUUUCAGUUCUUAUGUAUUUAUUUUUUGAGUUCAUCCAAGACCAUGAGUAACUAAUUUCUUGUUAGUUAGGGCUUAAUCUUGAAGCCCUAAACAUGAUUUCAAUUUUAUAAACAAGUUUAAUGGAUUUUUAGUUUCUACAAGCUUGAUGAUUUCGGUUUCUCUAUGUUAUGUGAAUUCUGAUAUUUUGUUUCUUUGAGUAGCUAACUUAGAAGCAUGUAUUGGAAUUAAAUUGUUGUAGAACAUAGGUCAAUUGCCAUAUUGAAUGUGUUCUUGUUUGCAACGAAUAAUUGGGUUAAGAACUAGUUAUGAGAAAUCGAUUCUUGAAUUCCUAAUAACAAAUGCCAUGUUUUAGGGUUUUUGUGACACUCAUAUUCUCUUUGAUCUUAAUGGAUUCUUGAUUGUUAAUUUGAGUAAAUGCCAUACUAGAUUUCAAUUAAGAAUACAUGUAUUGAUGUAAAUGCCAUACACUUUACAUACACUUAAGAGAGAAUCAUACAACUCGAGUCAAAUGCCAUGAUCUUGUUGUGAGUGUCGUCAUCAUAUGCUUGCUAGAAAUUGAUUAUCUAUUGUUGUUUAUGGAUUGAUUGAUUGUUUGGAGGUGGAUAGUAAGUCCUAGCUAUUGUUCUUGAUUGAUUUUAAACCAAUUUCUCUUAAACUCUAAUUUAAAUUCUCUUUUGUUUUCUUUUCCUUAUUUUGUUUUAUUCACAAAAUCAAAUCAAAACCCCCUUGGUGUUGGUGUGUGUUUGGAAGUCCUUUGUUUUGAUUUUCAUUGCGUGACAUUGAUAAACAUCUCUUUAGAUCACAAUCUCCGUGGGAUCGACCCUUGCUUGCUUACUAUACUAUCAUUUGAUUUGUGCACUUGCAAGGUUUUAAUAUUGUUGUUAAAAUUUACCAACAAGUUUUUGGCGCCGUUGCCGGGGAUUUUCAAUCUAAUUGAGUUUUGUUUUCAAUUUCAGGUAUAUGCUGGGUCGUCGUUCGCAGAGUCACGAACUUAUACCAUACGACCCUGAACUAGAGAACACACUUCUUAUCUCCAUCGAGAUAAAAAUAAGCAAGAUACACUUCCAAUCAAGAUGGGAGACGAGUUGGAACUCAACAACCUCACCCGACCUUUGAAGGAUUUCACAGUUCCUAAAGCAUUGGACCAGCCGUCUUGUAUUGCGUAUCCAGCCGCUACAACCACCUUUGAGAUCAAGAGUGGCACCAUUCACCUUUUGCCGCAAUUCUAUGGCAAGGCUGGGGAUGAUCCUCACAUACAUAUCAAGGAUUUCUUUGCCGUGUGCGCGACUAUGCACAAUGGAGGGAUUAGUGAUGAGGCAAUCAGAUUGCGUUUAUUUCCAUUCUCACUCAAGGAACGAGCCAAGGAGUGGCUCUAUUCUUUACCUAGUGCAUCUGUCACAACAUGGACAUCAUUGGCUUCCAAGUUCCUUGCAAAGUUCUUUCCAGCUCAAAAGACAAACCAUAUUAGGAAGGAGAUCAUGGGAGUGCAGCAACUAGAUGGAGAAUCAUUUCAUGAGUAUUGGGAUCGGUUUCAGAGACUCCUAGCUUCGUGCCCUCAUCACCAAAUUGAAGAUUGGCUACUUAUGCAAUACUUUUAUGAGGGAUUACUUGAUUCGGAGAGGAUGAUGGUUGAUGCUACUAGUGGAGGAGGUUUGAUGAACAAGAGUGCUACUCAAGCCAAGGAGAUGUUUGAGAACAUUGCAGCAAACUCUCAACAGUUUAAUUACCGGAGAGCUCCCCCAAAGAAAGCAGGUGUUUAUGAGGUAAGUGCUAGUGAUAUUGGUCCUCAAAUAGCUAAUUUGACUAACCUUGUUAAGCAGUUAAUCCCUCAAGCACAAGUGUGUGCCGUGUGUGCUAAUCCCGGACAUCAUACGGAGUCUUGUCCAAGUUUGUAUGGUAAUGGAGAAGAGAUGGCUCAAGCACACUAUAUGCAGCAACAAAAGCCAAGAAACGAUCCAUUUUCUAACACUUAUAAUCCGGGAUGGCGGCAACACCCUAACUUUGGAUGGAAGAACAAC